CGGACAUCCCAAAAGGGCGGGCCGGCGGUCGCGGGCUCAGGAGGAUGGGAUGGGCGGCCGGGCUCCUCUGUGGCUGCCCGGCCCCGCCAGGCGUGCUCUCGCUCUUCCCUUCCCGGUGGAUGGACAAGGGAGGAGCAGAGGUGAAACAAGCCACAGGACAGAGCUUGACAAUGACAGCAGGCAAGGGUGGGCCACUCAGCCACAGAGGGCUCCUCAGGCGACCUGCCGGCUUCUCCUCUCCUCAACUCUGAGUCUGUAUCAACGGAGGGCAACUGUAUCAACGGAGGGCAAGUGUGCUUACCCGGAGCACAAUUACCAUAUUUUCACAUUUAUUCAGUGUGGCCAAGAGGGCCACUGAGGACAUUUGUUUCUAAGAAAACUUUUGAAAGGCAUUAAAAAGGGCUCAUGGCAAAACAGAUUCCCCUCCAGGUUCCUGGGAAUGUCUUCACUGCCCCCAGAGAAGCCCACCGUAACUGGCCACCCUGAGCUUCACUGAUCACUUACAAUUUACAGAACAAGAUAAAGAGAGACUGAGAGACAUAUCAACCAACUGCAAUAUGUGGAUCUCAC